AUCAACAUGCGAGAAAGGUUGCAUAAACUUUCUCUUGCUUUGCUCUGUAUCAUUCCAGUUUAUGCUGCUUUAGAAAUCCAGUGUAAAUGAUAUUGAAGCUACCACAUACUCAGCUACCUGCUCCCUUUUUUGCAAAGCGCUUAAGUGAUAUGUGGCCAGCAGAAAGCAUCAUUUUCCUGCUUCGCUUGCAUGGAUUGCUUCUGAUGUUCUACUUGCUGAAGCUGUGAUGAUAACUGAAGCAGGUCAAUGGUGGUGCCAUCUUCACAGGAAAGAUGAUCCUCCGCAUUCAUAAAAUUUGAGCCCUGGUAAAUCCCAUCAGUGAGAUCAAAAUUAAUAGCAUCACUACCAUCAGAUAUCAGUAUGGAGCCUAAUUGGCUUCCUUCUGCAGAACUAAGGGAACUUGUUUGGCACCACGCUUGUGGAAGCCUGAGAACUAUCACCUGUUAGCUUUUCAGAAACUUGAUUCACACCAUAAUGGGUAUUGCUACCUGGAACUAACAAUGGGCAGGCCAUAGAAAUUCCUGAUGAAUGACUUAAAUAAUUGUGUGAUUGGGAUGACAGAAGAGAGAGAGCACAACUAGA
rnacentral:misc_RNA from 1 species